rnacentral:rRNA from 1 species
GACGUAGGGCGCGAGCGUUGUCCGGAUUUAUUGGGCGUAAAGAGCUCGUAGGCGGCUUGUCGCGUCGACUGUGAAAACUCGGGGCUCAACUCCGAGCUUGCAGUCGAUACGGGCAGGCUAGAGUUCGGUAGGGGAGACUGGAAUUCCUGGUGUAGCGGUGAAAUGCGCAGAUAUCAGGAGGAACACCGGUGGCGAAGGCGGGUCUCUGGGCCGUAACUGACGCUGAGGAGCGAAAGUGUGGGGAGCGAACAGG